rnacentral:rRNA from 1 species
ACAAUGGAGAGUUUGAUCCUGGCUCAGGAUGAACGCUAGCUACAGGCUUAACACAUGCAAGUCGAGGGGCAGCAUGGCGUCAGCUUGCUGACGCUGAUGGCGACCGGCGCACGGGUGAGUAACGCGUAUCCAACCUGCCUGUCACUCGGGCACAGCCCGCCGAAAGGCGGAUUAAUUCCCGAUGGCCUCCUCCGGAUGCAUAUUAUGGAGGAGUAAAGCGAAUGCGGUGACGGAUGGGGAUGCGUCCGAUUAGCUUGUUGGCGGGGUAACGGCCCACCAAGGCGACGAUCGGUAGGGGUUCUGAGAGGAAGGUCCCCCACAUUGGAACUGAGACACGGUCCAAACUCCUACGGGAGGCAGCAGUGAGGAAUAUUGGUCAAUGGACGCGAGUCUGAACCAGCCAAGUAGCGUGCAGGAUGACGGCCCUACGGGUUGUAAACUGCUUU